UAAAGAGCACCUAUUAUGGGAUACACGUUUUUAAACAUCCUUUUGUGUGUAAGUGUGCAUAAGUACAUGCUAACGAUAUUCAAGAAGUACAUACCUCAAAGAAAACGAUGACACGAGUUAUCGUCUCUAACGUUCGAGGACUACAAAAAACACUCGGAUUGUAGGCAACAGUUUACUUCCUGGGAUUGGUGACGUAGAUAAGACCAACAUUAUCAUAGUUCAGCCCUCUCUGCUUUGCUUGGGUACGCCCUCAAAGACGAGGGUGGGGAGCGCCGAGUCAGAAGACAGCUAAAAUGGCGGAGGUUGUGAGUUCCUGCUUUGACCCUGUUUGCAAGCUCUUGUUUCAUUGUUUAAGCGAUUAAAUCUCUCGAGUAGACGCUGUCUCUUUAGAUGCGAGGGCAAAAUAGCACUUUAUGGACUUCCACAGAGGACAUCAUGUUUAAUACGGUUCCGGAAAAAUCCAGUCAGAAGUUGUUCACGGAGUUUUCACAAUAACUGCUUCUCAUGAACCGAAGCUGGAUUUGCGCGAAGUCUCCUCUUGAAAGUUGGAUUACUGCACUUCUGGAUCACAGGCUAUUCGCAGCUGGACACAUCCUUCUACACUGUAUGCAAACAUGCAACAUCAUUACACACAGUACAAGGAGUCAGACUGGCAUAUGAGGAGCAAAGGAACCCAGACAGUAGCAUCGUUUCACAAUGUUUCCAUCAUCAUCAUCAGUGGAUGCCUUUGCUGUCCGUAGCCUGAGAUUUCAGAUUUGCAGCAAAAAAAAAUUUAUUUUCUCAUUUAUUGGAAUGCUGUGCAGGUAUUUGUACCUUGCAGCCAUCCAUUACAAUGUCACCAAGCCGUAACAAAAGCAGGAGAGGGAAAGUACAAGGCUAUGUUCCCAAAACACACAAGUGACAUACCUUAUGUGGAUGAUGUGAUCAGGCUUGUGUUUGAUGAGGUAUUUGAAGAUAAGCUGAAGGAAACCCCGAUUCCAAUGGACCUGGCAUCACAGUUUGAGAGACCUUCAAAGGAGGACGUGAUUGCAUGCCAUCUUCAGUGCAGGGGUCGUCGAAAGCCAAAAUUGUGACCGAUCUGAUCAGGAAGCUCCAAGCGUAUCUGGAGAACAACACACGACAGGAUGAUAACCUUAUAGUGUCGUCUUAAAUAGCACCAGCUGACAAAGCUUUGAUAUGCCAUUUAUCUGAAUAGAUAGCUGUAAGAAAUGAAUUGAACAAUUUUUGAAACAAGAGCACAAUAUGGUUACUAAAGUAUGUUUAUUUAUAUAUUGUUUAACAUUUAAAUAUAUAUUUGUAAUAAAUAAAAAAAACUUUUGACUGACUAUUAUAUUUUCUUUAAAGUUACAUCUUUUGUUCUUUUGGGUACUUUGUUACUAUAAUGAUACUUUAGUGUUAUUGGUUUAAAAAUGUAAUAAAACUUACUCUAGUCCUGCA